rnacentral:rRNA from 1 species
UGAGAGCGGCGGACGGGUGAGUAAUGCCUAGGAAUCUGCCUGGUAGUGGGGGAUAACGUUCGGAAACGGACGCUAAUACCGCAUACGUCCUACGGGAGAAAGCAGGGGACCUUCGGGCCUUGCGCUAUCAGAUGAGCCUAGGUCGGAUUAGCUAGUUGGUGGGGUAAUGGCUCACCAAGGCGACGAUCCGUAACUGGUCUGAGAGGAUGAUCAGUCACACUGGAACUGAGACACGGUCCAGACUCCUACGGGAGGCAGCAGUGGGGAAUAUUGGACAAUGGGCGAAAGCCUGAUCCAGCCAUGCCGCGUGUGUGAAGAAGGUCUUCGGAUUGUAAAGCACUUUAAGUUGGGAGGAAGGGUUGUAGAUUAAUACUCUGCAAUUUUGACGUUACCGACAG